CCUACGGGUGGCAGCAGUAGGGAAUGUUCGUCAAUGGGCGCAAGCCUGAACGAGCAAUGCCGCGUGAAUGAGGAAGGUCUUCGGAUCGUAAAGUUCUGUUGAAGGGGAAAAAGAGCGGAGAGAGGAAAUGGUCUCCGAUUGAUAUUACCCUUCGAGGAAGUCACGGCUAACUACGUGCCAGCAGCCGCGGUAAUACGUAGGUGGCGAGCGUUAUCCGGAAUGAUUGGGCGUAAAGGGUGCGUAGGCGGCCUGCUAAGUCUGGUGUGAAAGGUACCGGCUCAACCGGUAUAGGCUCUGGAAACUGGCGGGCUAGAGAGCAGGAGAGGGCGGUGGAACUCCAUGUGUAGCGGUAAAAUGCGUAGAUAUAUGGAAGAACACCAGUGGCGAAGGCGGCCGCCUGGCCUGUUACUGACGCUGAGGCACGAAAGCGUGGGGAGCAAAUAGGAUUAGAUACCCCGGUAGUC
rnacentral:rRNA from 1 species